rnacentral:pre_miRNA from 1 species
UCCCAUCUUAUCCCAUCCCACUAUAUAUAUAUGGUAGGAUGGGGGAAGAUGAGACAC